GUGGCGGUGCACCGGUGGGGCUGGCCGCGGCCGCUGGUGCUGGCCGGGGCCGCGUUCGUCGGGGCGAUCAUGCUCGGCUUCCUGGCCGCCAACC
rnacentral:tRNA from 1 species